rnacentral:rRNA from 1 species
AGGGUUCGAUCAUGGCUCAGGAUGAACGCUAGCGGCAGGCUUAACACAUGCAAGUCGAGGGGUAACAGGAGUGCUUGCACUCGCUGACGACCGGCGCACGGGUGCGUAACGCGUAUAGAACCUACCUUUUACUGAGGGAUAGCCUUUAGAAAUGAAGAUUAAUACCUCAUGGUAUUGCAAUUUGGCAUCAGAUUGUAAUUAAAGAUUUAUUGGUAAAAGAUGGCUAUGCGUCUUAUUAGCUAGAUGGUAAGGUAACGGCUUACCAUGGCAACGAUAAGUAGGGGCCCUGAGAGGGGGAUCCCCCACACUGGUACUGAGACACGGACCAGACUCCUACGGGAGGCAGCAGUGAGGAAUAUUGGGCAAUGGAGGCAACUCUGACCCAGCCAUGCCGCGUGCAGGAAGACUGCCCUAUGGGUUGUAAACUGCUUUUAUACAGGAAGAAACACACCUACGUGUAGGUGCUUGACGGUACUGUAAGAAUAAGCACCGGCUAACUCCGUGCCAGCAGCCGCGGUAAUUC